AAGGAUCUGAGCCAAGUAGGACACAUCUUGUGUUAGGCACCUCAUUGGUUGUUGUAUUCAGAGCAGACGGGCAUAGAUCACGAAGCAAGGUGUUUGGAGGUCCAUCCCAGCUUAGACAAGGAGGCAGCAGUAGCUAGAGGGAGAUCAGUUUCUAAAGUGGAGUAAACUACUCUAGUAAACUGAUUUCGUAAUGAAUUAUGUGUGAGAGGAAGGAGGAAAGCAGAUAAAAAUGUCACAUCUGAGUAAAGUUACAGAGACAAGGAACACAAACCCUGAUCGGGAGCUGCGCUCCUAACCUGCCCCUUGUCGUCUUUGUACUUCAGAGCACAGGGACGCAGGUGUGACACCGCAGACACUCAGCUCUGGUAACAGGUCAUGUCAUCACUGCUGCUAUCCCUACUCUACUGAACUGGACUGCUGAUAUAUCUGUGAAGUGUUUUGCAAGUGGAUCGAGCUGCCUCUGCUGGCCUGUGAACUAAAUUUCUGAUUUCCAGACAACACAGAUGGGAUUUUUUUUCAAGGAACCAUUUCUAAACAGAUCCACAUCCCCCAAAUUCUUUCUUUUUCCCUACCUCUGGUGAAUGGUGGGCUAAAAGGGAGGUUAAAGCAUUUAAAAACAAUCAUUAAAAGUAGACUUUGAAAAAAAAUUAAAGGUACAGAUCUGGAUCCAGGUCUUAAUGUUUGCACAGCAAGCAUUUUAUGCCCCGAGCCUUCUUCCCAGCCCAUCAUGAACUGUUUGUUUCAAGUAAUUUCAGAUACAUUGUUAUUCCACGCCUUUUUUCAUUGGGCAAGAUGUACUUUAAAUAAAAAUGUUGGUACAAACAAUAGGGAUUCUUUAAUACUAGAGAAAAAGUGGUAAUAAUUCCCUAGUUAAUUAGGGAAUUAUUAAAAUUAUAGACGUAUAUGCAACUAAUAACAAACCCAAAGGCAUAAUGAAGCCAAAGAUGAUUGAAUUCUGUAGAAGAAUAUCCAGUUUGCCUUCAAUCACAACUUGACAGAAUAAUAAGGAAACCUGGGGUGAGCAGCACUACAAGCAACUACAUCUCACAGACCCAUGUAGCAACGGAGCAUGUUUCUAAAGCAUGCACAAGUGCAUGGUCCAGGAUAGAGCAGCACGUGCAAUGGCUCAAGAGCAUGAUGGGACCUGGAUGGAAUGCACAUGUUAAGUCUACACCCUGCUGAUUUGUCACAUGUGAGAAUUUGGUGACUUUUCCUUCUGCAAUGGUAGGUAUGGCCACACAUGUGGGGUUGACCCUUACUCAAGGGGAUGCUUCUGAUGAGGCAGACUCCCAAGUAAGGUCAAUCAACUGCUUUGCCUUUCAUUCCUUUUGUGUUUGCCUCCUGGUUAGCCAGGUCAUUGCCAUUGAAUAUUUAUUUCACUAAAGUCCUCCUGUCUUGUCUGUUCCUCUGAUCACUCUAAGAUACAAAUCUGUAGUGCACAGGCAGCAGAAAUUCCAGGAGGGAAAACAAAAACCAAAAUCCCAAACUCACAAGGUAAAAAAUAUCUAUGGAUAAAAGUGGCAAUAGGAAAGGAAUGUUAAAUUAUGCAAAUAUUGUCUUGUGACCGGGAAGGGACACACCCACCCCACUGAAGGUUUUUGUUCGGGCUGCAGAUGCCUGGGAAGCACCGUGUCAUCACAACACAGAAAUAAGUACCAGAGUCUGUGGUCUGGGAGGAGGAAAUAGUCAAAGAGCUGCGAUGUUCCUUAGAGACUGUGGUGAACAUCAGUCUUCCAUACCGCUUCAUUCCGGGAUUGAAGAAGAGGCUGACGAGGCUUCCCCCAGGACUCUGGUAAAACCACUGCGUUUGGUUUGUGGAGGUGGAAAAGUUGCACUGCAGCUCUGCGUUCUCUCCCUCCUGCAGAACCAAGGACGCAGGACUCUGCUGCACUUGCUGCCCUUUUACCCUUGAUUAGAAACAGAGAAAGAGACACUGAUGACUGUCAUUGCAGUGUUCACAGAGCCCUGAGCACACCCAUGACCUCUGAGAAGGUGGGAGCUCUGCAGGACUCCUAAGCUGCUCUCCCCACCCCUCCAUGUGCUGAGCCAGAGCCUCUCAGGUGCCCUGAAUGCUGACAGCCAGACUCACAGCAAACCUGGAUGCACAGAAGCCCCAGCAGAGAGCACAGCAGCCUCUUCAUGGUGCUGGUGUGGCUGCUGGAGACAAGCAAGUAAGUAAUCCCUGGGCUGUGGUGUCAGGGUGGCUGUUGAAGUGUCCCCUCCUCCUGCAACUAGUCAACUCCACCUAGGAACCCUGCCUGGCCACACCCUGCUGAGUUCCCUCCCAGCCUUCAGAGCCUGAAGCUCCUCCUAAACCAGCCAGAUCUGGCUGACAGUGGGGGAAGAUGGACAUUUUGAGAUGACCUCGGGGUUGUAUGGAGUGUGAGAGCCCCUGGGGAGAAGGGACAUUCAGUGACUAUACUAACUAGAACCACAGACAGAACAGCUACAUGUUUAAAUCAAGAAACAGGCAUGUGUCCUGAAUAAAGUCCUUACAGGCCUUUACAUUAAUUUAGUGAAACUUAUUCCAGACACACAAGAUAACUAGAUCGGAAAUGUUACAAGGUAUAUAUUUAACAAGCCUUUAUGUUUUGCCAAUGAAAGAUGUGUAGACUGGGAGAUUCUUGGAGUAACAUUCUUUCUGUUAAACGUUGCUUUUUGUAGAUAGGAGCCCGCUGAAGACAAAGGGCCUCUCAGUGCUACUUUGCUACACUGAAAGUGUGGCUUCCAAGUCUGUUCCUCAGUGGAGUGACCAUAGCUAACAGGAAAAGUGUGGUUUCUGAGUUGCUCUGUUCCUCAGCAGAGUGACCAUAGCUAACAAUAUGUACUGCAAGUUUCCAGAGCUAUAAGAAAACAUUUUACAUUUUCAACCUAAAAAUAAAGAGUGUUAACAUACAGGCGAUUUUGCUGGCCUGCCCUCAGUGAUCUAGCAUUGCUUACGUCAUCAGCUGCCAACCCCAGGUGCAGGUGGCAGGAUGUAAGCAGCUGCUGCCACCCUAAGUCCUCUCUGUGUGGUUCCUCUCUCUCUCUCUCUCUCUCUCUCUCUCUCUCUCUCUCUCUCUCUCUCUCUCUCUCUCUCUCUCCUCUCUCUCUCUCCCCCUCCCUGUCCUUCUUCCUCCCUAGACCUAGAGGAAUACAAAAUGAAUUGAACAUCAUUGCCCUCCAUCAUAGAGUUUGCAAUGUUGUAUGUGGAAGAGAGUAAUAUAGCACAUGUUAUAAUAAGCGUGUGCCAUAAACAGCACAUGAGCACCAAGAUAGAGACAUCACUUGGGGUUUAUUCACAGGACAUGCACACAACUCAGUCAUCAGUGGACAUUAUAAUGCUGUGCACCAUUCCUGGAAAUGAUAAGGAGGCAGAGAAAAAAAGCCACAGAAACAGCAUUUGAGCCUUUAUUUAAUACAAUGAACAGAAGCUAAGCAAUAUAUAGUCUUAGAUGAUGAUAAGAAAACUUGCCCCACCCCCACACAGCUUCUCUACAGACACCAAAGUAGCUGUCAGGUUCAAAGAAAGUGCUCCUCCACACACCAAGAUACUUAAAAUUGAAUUUGCACAUAAGGAAUCUUUGCCUGUUGUUCUGGUGUCUUAGUCAGGGUUUCUAUUACUGAGAUAAAACACCAGGACCAAAACCAAAUAGAGGAGGAAAGCAUUUAUUUAUCUCACAACUUGUUUUUCAUCAUCUAGGAAAGUCAGGACAGGAAACUCAGCGUAGAAAGCUGGAAGCAGGAGUGCAGAGGCCAUAGAGGGGGCUUCCCAUGGCUUGCUCAGCCUGAUUUCUUAUAUUCCGCAUGAACCAAGUCCAAGGGUGGCCCUGUGGGUGGACCCACCCACACCAAUCACGAGAUAAGAAAAUACACCACAGGCCAAUCUGGUAGGAGCAUUUUCUCAAAUGAGGUUUCAUCUAACAAAUCACUAUAGUUUGUGUCAAGUUGACAUAAAACUAGCCAGCAACCUGGAAACUCUGGUUUUGAAUUUGAGUGAAUUUUAGGGAAGAGAAAAAAACUUGAUGGUCCAACCUUUGCCGUCUGGUGAAAUUUGCACUGCAGAAUCUUGCAGCCAUUUUCUUGUGUCUCUGAAUAUCUAACUUCUUGCUUGUCAUCUGCGUAUAUUUAUAGCACAGAAAGAUGAUCACAAGUCAGGACACUAUUCGUAACAGUUGCUUAAGAUUGCUUUUAUACAUUGACUAACCCGCAUAAAGAAUGAUAAUAUUGAGAAGCAGAGACAAGAGAACUGCAGCACGUUAAGGCCAGGCCAGGCUUCACUAGAGUGAAUUCAAGAUCAGCCCCAGCUACUUAUGGAAACUCUGAAUCGGAAAAACUUACCUUGAUGAUUCAUUUCAGUGUCCUAGAAUUGAGUAUUUUGAAUAUGCAUUUUCAAUUUUCAUUAGAUUUCAUUUAAAACGCGAAUGCUUUGGAUUUUGCAAUUUUUUUUUCUGUUUUAGUAGGUAACAUUAAAUAUUUUGAAAGAAAUGAAAUGCUGACUUGGGAAGUUUACAUGGAAAUAAUUCUAGGGGUUGGGGAGAUGGAUGGCCCAAUAAAGGCGCUGGCUCUCUUUAGCGGGAAUGCCUACAGAGUUGUCGUUUACACAUUGUGAGGACAAGGACAGCCGUCACCAAGUCCUCCAGCCUCCUGCACUUCGUGAGAGAGCUGGAAUCCUUCUUUAUCAGGAGAUUCAGAUCACUGACCUCAAGAGAUAAGGCAGAAUAUGAUGAAGAUAAUGCAGUUUGAAAAAUCAGAUGAUUUUUAAAUUGUUCUGGGAUUCUUUAUUGGAUGAAGGAUAAGAUUAAUAAUGUAAAGCAAACCUCUGAUUUGCUUAAAAAUAACUCACAGUCAACUUCAUGCCAUCUUGCCCAAUCACUGUCCCAAAUGUCUCCUCAUUCCCCUCCCGUGUGUGUGUGUGCGCACGCACACGCGCGCACACACACACACACACACACACACACACACACACACUAGCAUCUCCCUCUAUCACUCUUUUUUUUUCCUUUCUUUUUUUCUUUCCUUUGAGACAGGGUCUCUGAACUUUAAACUUGAUGUUUGGGCUAAUUUGUCAGUGAGUGUCAGUGAUUACCUGCCUCUGUUCCCCACUUGGACAAUGGGUGCCUGUCAUGUUAAUACCACCCUCUGAGGGCCAAAUAGAAAAUUAAGGACAUGUUCCUGAUUAUAAGGAAUGUUCAACCAUCCUCUAUCCUUCCCAGGCUUGAAUUUAACAGCUUUAUGAUCAUGUACCGGGAGGAUUUGUGUUUUGUAAAUCUUUCGGGUUAUAAUACUUUUAAAUGAAAGAAAUACCCUAAUUACAGAUUACAACAGGCACACAGAAACUUUCAGAAAAAUUCAUAACAAUGACAAACUAAAAAGGACAACUCAACAAACAGAAUUCAAAAAGUUGUGCAAUGUUAUUAUUUAUUUUAUUGGCAUAAUUUAGUACUACUUUUUUGUGAGAACAUAUAGUAUUUUCAAUGGAGAGAAAAGAAAGCUAACACAAUCUUUCUACCUAGCAUGAUUAAUUUUGGGGGGGGGUGGGCAAAAUUGCUUUUAAUAAUAUUCUUUCUGCUCAGUGUAGUUAUAAAUAUAAUUUUAAUUUGUCAGCGAUAUUAAAAAGUAUUACUACAAAAUUGAUCACUUUUGUACUAUCUUCAAAAUUCAAUUCAAACAUUCCUCUUAGAGCUCAUCUCAGUCAAAUUUAACAAUUUAGCUCCUCCCUUGAGCCGACCCUUUUCAAGAGCCUGAUAGGUACUUUUGACUACUGGCUGCUAUAUUGGCCAUCAAGUUCUAAAUAGUGGUUAUUUAAGGGAAACACUGUUCACAUUCCACCUUUGAGUAGAGAGAAUUUCCAUUCCACUGUUGGAGUGAGCGAUUGGAAGACAUCAUAACAUGACUAUUUUUCCUACUUCAAUUAAUAUACAGAGAAAAUCCCCAUGCUGAGUUCACAUUUGUUACAUUAAUCAAUUAAUUGCUUUUUAACUUAUUCCCUUUACAGGCCGUUCACUCUCACCCUCCCACAAUCCUUCCCCCUUCCCCUCCCCCUUUCCUCUGAGCAGGUGGGGGCUCCCUUGGGUAUGCUCCCAACACUGUCACUUCAAGACUCUGCAAGGCUAAGCAAUUCCUCCCCCAUGGAGGCCAGACAGGGCAGCCCAGCUAGAAGAACAUAUUGAGGUUGCAAUCCUUCUAUUCUCCCUUAAGAGUUAUCAAACUCCAUUGACUGUUUGGCUGUGGGUGUCUGUAUCUGUCUGAGUCAGUUGCUGGGUGGAGCCUUCAAAGGACAGCCAUGCUAGACUCCUGACUGCGUGGUUCAGGCUCAGCAUGUCUGAUAAAGGUGGGAGAAGAGGCAGGGAGAUCUCCCUGGAAUCCAGGCCGUUCUGCAUGAUUAGUUUUUUAUUCAUGUUGCAUUAUGAUAACAUGUAUAGUUUUAGAGAUAUAGUUACAUUUGGGGGAAAUGUGUAUAAAACAUUUUAUUACAUUUCAAGUAUUUGAAUGCUGUAAUCAGCCAUAGGUGUCAUGGACACUCAUUCAUCACUUCAUUAACUCUGUGUAUUUCCCACUGUUGUGUAACACAUCCCCACGAAUUUAGGAACUUAAAAAAUCAUCUGUUUAUUGCACUGCAGUUCUGUAGGUCAGAAGUGUGGUGGAAGCUGAACUAGGUCUCGCAAAGCUGCAGCGUUUCUCAAGACUGGCAAAUUACUGGACAUAGUGUUGGACCACCACACAGGGUGCUCGUCUCUGGGGAAGAUGGAUUCUCGCUUUCCCAGCAGUCACGAAUUGCCUUUAGCCAUGAGCGUUAUCCCAUCUAUGCUGGUCAAUGGCUGUCAUUUUUCAAGCUUAGUUUAGUCAACCAUAUUGUUGAGAAAUCAUGGAUGAAGGUUUGUUAUUGUACAUAGAUGAUAUAAUCUCUCAGCAGAUGAUCUGUUACACGUGCUUUUGCCAUCAUCCCAGGCCCUUUCCCGUGAUGUUCCUUGAAUGCUAGAUAGAGGUUUUGUGCUGUAGAUUCAUCAACUGAGUUGGGCAGUUGUUCUUUUUAUUUUGUCCACGUGUGGAUUUCUGUGAUGGUCGCCAUCAUUUGCAAAAUGAAGCUUCUUUGAUGAGAGGUGAGAGAUAGACUUAUCUGUGAGCAUAAGGGCAAAUAUUAAGAAUGCAAUUAGAGACCCGCGGAUCCCGGCCCGCAGCAGCUCUCUGCUCCCAGACCCGGUGAGAGAGAGACCCAACCGCCUGGUCAGGUGGGCACUCCUGAGGCUGCAGAGCGGAAGAGACCACCAACACUGCUCACCCCUGCCCACAUCCCUGGCCCAAGAGGAAACUGUAUAAGGCCUCUGGGCUCCCGUGGGGGAGGGCCCAGGAGCGGCAGGACCCCUGUGCCUGAGACACCACCAGAACCUGAAGGAAACAGACCGGAUAAACAGUUCUCUGCACCCAAAUCCCGUGGGAGGGAGAGCUGAACCUUCAGAGAGGCAGACAAGCCUGGGAAACCAGAAGAGACUGCUCCCUGCACACACAUCUCCGACGCCAGAGGAAAAAGCCAAAGACCAUGUGGAACCCUGGUGCACUGAAGCUCCCGGAAGGGGCGGCACAGGUCUUCCUGGUUGCUGCCGCUGCAGAGAGCCCCUGGGCAGCACCCCACGAGCAAACUUGAGCCUCGGGACCACAGGUAAGACCAAAUUUUCUGCUGCAAGAAAGCUGCCUGGUGAACUCAAGACACAGGCCCACAGGAACAGCUGAAGACCUGUAGAGAGGAAAAACUACACGCCCAAAAGCAGAACACUCUGUCCCCAUAACUGACUGAAAGAGAGGAAAACAGGUCUACAGCACUCCUGACACACAGGCUUAUAGGACAGUCUAGCCACUGUCAGAAAUAGCAGAACAAAGUAACACUAGAGAUAAUCUGAUGGCGAGAGGCAAGCGCAGGAACCCAAGCAACAGAAACCAAGACUACAUGCCAUCAUCGGAGCCCACUUCUCCCACCAAAACAAACAUGGAAUAUCCAAACACACCAGAAAAGCAAGAUCUAGUUUCAAAAUCAUAUUUGAUCAUGAUGCUGGAGGACUUCAAGAAAGACAUGAACACACUUAGGGAAACACAGGAAAACAUUAAUAAACAAGUAGAAGCCUACAGAGAGG